rnacentral:rRNA from 1 species
CGUCGAGCGGCGGACGGGUGAGUAAUGCUUGGGAAUGUGCCUUAUGGUGGGGGACAACAGUUGGAAACGACUGCUAAUACCGCAUAAUGUCUUCGGACCAAAGUGGGGGACCUUCGGGCCUCACGCCAUAAGAUCAGCCCAAGUGGGAUUAGCUAGUUGGUAAGGUAAUGGCUUACCAAGGCGACGAUCCCUAGCUGGUUUGAGAGGAUGAUCAGCCACACUGGGACUGAGACACGGCCCAGACUCCUACGGGAGGCAGCAGUGGGGAAUAUUGCACAAUGGGCGCAAGCCUGAUGCAGCCAUGCCGCGUGUGUGAAGAAGGCCUUCGGGUUGUAAAGCACUUUCAGUAAGGAGGAAAGGUUAAGUGUUAAUAGCACUUAGCUGUGACGUUACUUACAGAAGAAGCACCGGCUAACUCCGUGCCAGCAGCCGCGGUAAUACGGAGGGUGCGAGCGUUAAUCGGAAUUACUGGGCGUAAAGCGUACGCAGGCGGUUUGUUAA